rnacentral:lncRNA from 1 species
GGCAAAACCGAGGCCCCGCCCCCCGCCCACGGCCCCGCCCCCCACGCGCCGGGGACCCCGCGUCCGUCUGUCCGUCCCUGUGUCCAUCCCAGCGUCCGUCUGUCCGUCCAGGGUCCAUCCCAGUGUCCGUCUGUCCGUCCCAGUGUCCGUCUGUCCGUCCCUGUGUCCACCCAGUGUCCGUCUGUCCGUCCCAGUGUCCGUCUGUCCAUCCCAGUGUCCAUCCAGUGUCCACCCAGUGUCCAUCUGUCCAUCUGUCCACCCAGUGUCCAUCCAGUGUCCACCCAGUGUCCAUCUGUCCAUCUGUCCAUCCCAGUGUCCAUCCCAGUGUCCGUCUGUCCGUCCCAGUGUCCAUCUGUCCACCCAGUGUCCAUCUGUCCAUCCCAGUGUCCAUCCCAGUGUCCAUCCAUCCAUCCCAGUAUCCAUCUGUCCAUCCCAGUGUCCGUCUGUCCAUCCCAGUGUCCAUCUGUCCGUCCAGUGUCCAUCCCAGUGUCCGUCCAGUGUCCAUCUGUCCAUCCCAGUGUCCAUCCCAGUGUCCAUCUGUCCAUCCCUGUGUCCGUCUGUCCGUCCCAGUGUCCAUCUGUCCAUCCCAGUGUCCAUCCCAGUGUCCAUCUGUCCAUCCCAGUGUCCAUCCAGUGUCCAUCUGUCCAUCCCAGCGUCCGUCUGUCCGUCCAGGGUCCAUCCGUCCAUCCCAGUAUCCACCCAGUGUCCAUCCAUCCAUCCCAAUGUCCGUCUGUCCGUCCAGUGUCUGUCUGUCCGUCCCUGUGUCCAUCCCAGCGUCCGUCUGUCCGUCCAGUGUCCAUCCAGUGUCCAUCUGUCCAUCCAGUGUCCAUCUGUCCAUCCAGUGUCCAUCUGUCCAUCCGUCCACCCCUCCGUCCAUCCCAGCCCCAUCCCGACCCCUCCCGGCCUCACUUUUUGGGGCCAUUUUCCCAUUUUUUGGGGCCAUUUUCCCAUUUUUUUGGGGCCAUUUUCCCAUUUUUUGGGGCCAUUUUCCCAUUUUUGGGGCCAUUUUCCCAUUUUUUGGGGCCAUUUUCCCAUUUUUUGGGGCCAUUUUCCCAUUUUUCGGGCCCUUUUCCCAUUUUUAC